UACGGAAGGGGCAAGCGUUGUUCGGAAUCAUUGGGCGUAAAGGGCGCGUAGGUGGUUCUGUAUGUCUACCGUGAAAGCGUACGGCUCAACCGUAUUUUGUCGGUAGAAACUGCAGGACUUGAGACUGGGAGGGGCUGGUGGAAUUCCCUGUGUAGCGGUGAAAUGCGUAGAGAUGGGGGAGAACACUCGUGGCGAAGGCGGCCAGCUAGACCAGUUCUGACACUGAGGCGCGACAGCGUGGGGGAGCAAACAGG
rnacentral:rRNA from 1 species